GCGGUUAUACAAAUUAUGUAAAUAAAUUUUAUUAGUAAUUAGUUAAUUUUAUUUUAAAUUUUUAAAAAUUUAUAUUAUUUAGGUUAAAUUUUUAAAUAUAAUAAUUAAAUUUUUUUUUGUUAAUGAAGCUAAAAAAUUUAAAUUAUAAACUAGGAUUAGAUACCCUAUUAUUUUAAAUAUAAUUUAUAAAACUAAGGUAGUAAUAGAAAUGUUCUUAAAACUUAAAAAAUUUGGCGGUGUUUUAAUCUAUUUAGAGGAACCUGUUUUAUAAUUGAUAGUCCACGAUAUUAUUUUACUAAUUUUAAAUAAUUUGUAUACCGUCGUUAUAAGAGAAUUUUUUUAGAAAUUAAUUUUCUUAAUAUUUAUAUUAAUAAAAUUUCAGAUCAAGGUGCAGUUUAUAUUUUAGUAAAAAUGGGUUACAAUAAUUAUAAUUAUAUGGAUUUUAGAUUGAAAUAUUUAAAUAAAGGUGGAUUUAAUAGUAAUAUAAUUUAAAUUAAUUAUAUGAUUAUAGCUCUAAAAUAUGUACAUAUCGCCCGUCGCUCUCUCUUUUAAAGAUAGAUAAGUCGUAACAAAGUAGAUGUACUGGAAAGUGUAUCUAGAAUGAA
rnacentral:rRNA from 1 species